GCGUGAUGCUACAUUUCUAAAAACGUGAAAUGUGCUUAAUAUAUGAAAUAUGCAUAGAAUUAUAUAAAAUUUUGAAAAGUUUCAAGUAUUCUUUAAGGUAGAUAAAGUGAACUUCAGGUUUUUCUCACUGAUAGUAAAUCUGGAGCCGA